rnacentral:rRNA from 1 species
CCUACGGGAGGCAGCAGUGGGGAAUCUUGCACAAUGGAGGAAACUCUGAUGCAGCGAUGCCGCGUGAGUGAAGAAGGCCUUUGGGUUGUAAAGCUCUUUUGUAGGGGAAGAUAAUGACUGUACCCUAAGAAUAAGGUCCGGCUAACUUCGUGCCAGCAGCCGCGGUAAUACGAAGGGACCUAGCGUAGUUCGGAAUUACUGGGCGUAAAGCGCGCGUAGGCCGUUGAGUUAGUUAAUUGUGAAAUCCCAAAGCUUAACUUUGGAACUGCAAUUAAAACUGCUCGACUAGAGUUUGAUAGAGGAAAGCGGAAUACAUAGUGUAGAGGUGAAAUUCGUAGAUAUUAUGUAGAACACCAGUUGCGAAGGCGGCUUUCUGGAUCAACACUGACGCUGAGGCGCGAAAGUAUGGGUAGCAAAGAGGAUUAGAUACCCUCGUAGUCCAUACCAUAAACGAUGAUUGCUAGAUGUUGGAAAUUUAUUUUCAGUAUCGCAGCUAACGCAUUAAGCAAUCCGCCUGGGGAGUACGACCGCAAGGUUAAAACUUAAAGGAAUUGACGGCUGAGAGNGCGAGACGACGACGAGGAGAG